UACGGAGGGUGCGAGCGUUGUCCGGAAUCAUUGGGCGUAAAGGGCGCGUAGGUGGCCUGGUCAGUUCGUGGUGAAAGCGCGGGGCUCAACUCCGCGUCGGCCAUGAAUACUGCUGGGCUGGAGCACUGUAGAGGCAGGCGGAAUUCCGGGUGUAGCGGUGGAAUGCGUAGAGAUCCGGAAGAACACCGGUGGCGAAGGCGGCCCUGCUGGGCAGUGGCUGACACUGAGGCGCGACAGCGUGGGGAGCAAACAGG
rnacentral:rRNA from 1 species